CAGCAGCCGCGGUAAGACAGAGGAUGCAAGCGUUAUCCGGAAUGAUUGGGCGUAAAACGUCUGUAGGUGGCUUUUCAAGUCCGCCGUCAAAUCCCAGGGCUCAACCCUGGACAGGCGGUGGAAACUACCAAGCUGGAGUACGGUAGGGGCAGAGGGAAUUUCCAGUGGAGCGGUGAAAUGCGUUGAGAUCGAAAAGAACACCAACAGCGAAAGCACUCUGUUGGGACGACACUGACACUAAGAGACGAAAGCUAGGGGAGCAAAUGGGAUUAGAUACCCCCGUAGUCCCUGUCUCUUAUAC
rnacentral:rRNA from 1 species